rnacentral:rRNA from 1 species
CCUACGGGAGGCAGCAGUGGGGAAUAUUGGGCAAUGGGCGCAAGCCUGACCCAGCAACGCCGCGUGAAGGAAGAAGGCUUUCGGGUUGUAAACUUCUUUUCUGAGGGACGAAGAAAGUGACGGUACCUCAGGAAUAAGCCACGGCUAACUACGUGCCAGCAGCCGCGGUAAUACGUAGGUGGCAAGCGUUAUCCGGAUUUAUUGGGGGUAAAGGGCGUGUAGGCGGAAUGCCAAGUCAGCGGUAAAAUCGCGGGGCUCAACCUCGCUCCGCCGUUGAAACUGGCGUUCGUGAGUGGGCGAGAAGUAUGCGGAAUGCGUGGUGUAGCGGUGAAAUGCAUAGAUAUCACGCAGAACUCCGAUUGCGAAGGCAGCAUACCGGCGCCCAACUGACGCUGAAGCACGAAAGCGUGGGUAGCGAACAGGAUUAGAUACCCCUGUAGUC